UGUCAACCGUGAAAACGGGAAGAAACACAUCUGGUGAACGAUUAAAGUGAGAAAGAUAAGGCUUCAUUAAAAGUGGACAGACUCCAGAAGAGCAACCCAUCGUUGCCUCAACGAGGGGAGAAAAGUACCAAAAGGAGGAAGAUCAUCAACUCAUUUCCCACCCUAAUAUGAACCCUGUACCUGUGUGACUGUCCUAAUAUGGACACCAUACCAGUGGAGCGAAGUCACUGCGACGAUGUUGCUGCCCAGCCGACAAGAGUGGACCCUGGGGACCCCAUGGUCCAGAAUCCAGGAAGUAUCAAACCGUUGAAGCCACCAAUCAUAGGAUGAGGUGUGAGAGGAUGCCAGGGCCUGUCCUUCUGCUGUGUCUAGAUGUCCAGUUUUUAAAUGCCUGGAAAAGCCUUUUUGAAGAGAUAAAAAGCACAUAAAAG